UACGGGGGGGGCAAGCGUUGUUCGGAAUUACUGGGCGUAAAGGGCUCGUAGGCGGCCAACUAAGUCGGACGUGAAAUCCCUCGGCUUAACCGGGGAACUGCGUCCGAUACUGGAUGGCUUGAGAUUGGGAGAGGGAUGCGGAAUUCCAGGUGUAGCGGUGAAAUGCGUAGAUAUCUGGAGGAACACCGGUGGCGAAGGCGGGUCUCUGGGCCGUAACUGACGCUGAGGAGCGAAAGCAUGGGGAGCGAACAGG
rnacentral:rRNA from 1 species